CCAACACUAGGCAAAUAAACUAAGAGUUAUUUUCCUAGAGCAGCAGUUCUCAAACUGUGGUCCAUGGACUCCUGGGGGUCCCUAAGACUCUUUUAGCGGUGUCUGGAAAGUCAAAGUGGCUUUUGUAAUGAUAAUAAUGCUUUUUUCUGUGUUGGCACCUACAAUGAUGCAAAAGCAAUGGUGGGUAAAACUUCUGGCUUAUCAGCAAGAAUCAAGGCAGUGGCACCAAAAUAUAUUAGUUGUUAUAUUCUUCACCCCCACACAUUCCAGUUAAAAUAAAAAACGUGCAUGUCAACUUCAUUGAAGAAUGCUCACAAUUAUCACAGUAAAAAUUAUUUUUAUUAAACCUCAACUCUGAAAACACAUCCUCUUAAUACUCUGUAUGUCAAAAAGGGGAAAUAUAUAUAAAGCACUCUGCUUCGCAUCAAGGAUCACGGUUGUCUCAAGGAAAGAUACUUGUGUGAUUCAGCUGUCAGCUGAACAGGCCACUUUUUUCAUGGAACACCAUUUUUCUUGAAAGAACAGCUGAUAAACUAUAAUUAUUCAGACUUGGGUAUUAGACAGGCAUUUUCUCAAAAAUGAAUUUAGUGAGCCUGUUAUUUCAAGGAAACCAAAUGUCUUCAGUACUUGUUAUAAAUGACAAAAUUUGAGCUUUCAGCGAAAAUAGAAAUUUUGGAAAAUGUGUAGGCAUGUCCAAACUUUCAAGAAUCUCCCAAUACUUCUUUGAGAAGACAGGUUAGAUUAACAAAUAUGCUUUUUUGAUAUUUUGUAAUAAAAUGUCCCAAUGUUUCAAAGAUUUGUAUAAUUCAAUGAACUGGUAUUUUAUAAGCAAUCAAUGCACUAUGUUACA